UACGAAGGGGGCUAGCGUUGUCCGGAAUUAUUGGGCGUAAAGCGCGCGCAGGCGGCUGUUUAAGUCUGGUGUAUAAACCUGGGGCUCAACUCCGGGUCGCACUGGAAACUGGAUAGCUUGAGUGCAGAAGAGGAGAGUGGAAUUCCACGUGUAGCGGUGAAAUGCGUAGAUAUGUGGAGGAACACCAGUGGCGAAGGCGACUCUCUGGGCUGUAACUGACGCUGAGGCGCGAAAGCGUGGGGAGCAAACAGG
rnacentral:rRNA from 1 species